GACGAACGCUGGCGGCGUGCUUAACACAUGCAAGUCGAACGGAAAGGCCCUGCUUGCAGGGUACUCGAGUGGCGAACGGGUGAGUAACACGUGGGCGAUCUGCCCUGCACUUCGGGAUAAGCCUGGGAAACUGGGUCUAAUACCGGAUAGGAGCCAUUUUUAGUGUGAUGGUUGGAAAGUUUUUUCGGUGUAGGAUGAGCUCGCGGCCUAUCAGCUUGUUGGUGGGGUAAUGGCCUACCAAGGCGGCGACGGGUAGCCGGCCUGAGAGGGUGGACGGCCACAUUGGGACUGAGAUACGGCCCAGACUCCUACGGGAGGCAGCAGUGGGGAAUAUUGCACAAUGGGCGCAAGCCUGAUGCAGCGACGCCGCGUGGGGGAUGACGGCCUUCGGGUUGUAAACUCCUUUCGCUAGGGACGAAGCUUUUUGUGACGGUACCUAGAUAAGAAGCACCGGCUAACUACGUG
rnacentral:rRNA from 1 species